rnacentral:lncRNA from 1 species
UUAGACCGAAUACUCGUUAUUCGCUAGUUGGCCGUCUUGUGAACACCUAACGAGUUUUGCAACAUUGCACACACAUUCUCUCUCUCUCUCUCUCUCUCUCUCUCUCUCUCUCUUCUCCUCUUCCNUUUAUAAGCUUGGGACAUUAUAAUCAGGGCCGGUCCAUUGGUUUUUACUACCCAGUGCAAAAUAAAAAUUUAUGCCCCUAAGUUUAUACCGUUGAAAAGACAAAAGGUAAAUAAAAAUAUAUAAUAACAAAACUAUAAUAAAUUUUAUAGUCAAAUAAAAUCAAUAAACAAAAACCUACAAAAUCACCUAAAACGAUGCAUUAAUGCAAUGGUGAUUUACAUAAUUUAUUAUUGAAGAGCUAACAUUUCCAAAUCAUAACAUAAAUUCCAUAGAAUACUAGCCAUGGGAGGUCAUUGAUGUAAAAGAUAACAAAUAAACUCCAUAGAAUACAAACCUUUAUAAACAAUUUUAAAUUCCUUCCAGAACGAAAUUACAAAGCUUGAGUCAACAUGUAAGAAUAAUCCCACUAAUUUCUUGUAUUCAGAAAGAUGGAGUCUAUGACUUUACAAAAAUUAAGAAUAUAAAUUCUCAAAAGAAGCCACUAUGAAUUUCAAAAACUAAGAAUAUACACAAAUGUCAACUCUAUGGAGCCAUAAUUCUUUCCCUGAGGCAUGCAGCCAUUUUCAAAGCCUUUAUGAAAUCAAUUUUGCAAGUUCACUGUGAAUUUAUACAUUAGUUAGAAGCCUAUAAAACUAAAAGGUAAAAGACAAUUUUUUCUGAUAUAUAUUUCAAAUUAGACCACAAAAAUUAUACCCGAGAUUUUGAAAUUUUCGACUAUUGAGAUUUUUGAACUUCUGAGAUGAGAGUCAAACUCCUCAGAAGAGUGAAGACCAUCGAACUCCAACCCACACAAAUCUUAAAACUCCAAUCCAAUAAACAGAUUAGUAAUACAAGUAUCAGAGUGAAUUAGUUUGCAUAUUAGAGAGACAAAAAAAAACCUACCGAAGCCUCUAGUCUCCUCUCUUCAGAAAUCAGAAUCAAUCUGUUUAUCUCUGGAGUUAGGCGUCCCUUGUCCAGUAGAGAACAACAAAUCAGAUUGUAAACUUCUAACUCACAGAAAAAUAAUCGACCCUACAACCACGAUAUUAAUUAGAGAAAUCACAAAUAAGAACUUGAAAAUUACCAAAAUUGGAGUAUAUAGAAAUCAAAAAUCGAUUCACAAACAACUUAGGAGCUAUGUAAUCGACUGAUAACUAAGAAAUUUGAAGGGCAAAAUAUCAUAUUUAGAGAGAAUAAGAGAAAUCAUCAAAUAGGUUACGGGUUCUUACUUUUUAUUUAUCAGAUCGAUGCCCACAUCUACGUGAUUCUAGGGCAUUGAGUUCUCCAAACUCCAAUCGACAACAACGUGUUCUAUGCAGCGGACAUUUCAUUUUUCUAGGCGCAGUUGACGAAAAUUGAAAACGGAUAUAGGAUAUGUAUACCAGAGUUGAUUUGGCACCUUUUCU